CACAAUCGAAUCAUUUAUAUGAGCAUAUAAGGCAAAACAUUUCUUUUGUCUCUUUUAUAUGAAGUCAUUUUAGAAGAGCUUACACUUUCGUCUCUUAAUUGCCUUAUCAAUGACCGAGUGGCUAACACUGCUUAAUGUUGGGAAUUCGAUCACAGGCGAAAAGUCUGGCGAACGGGCUCAUAGGCGAAAAGAAUUUUUCGAUGUCAGGAAACUGAAGGAAUUCAGAGUACUGUCUUUGGGAUUCAACACCGGACCUGCCCAAUGCUAGCCCAUGCUCUAUCCAAUCACGCCACGAAGGAGAUUAUAAUAUAUGCAAAGGAUUCUAAUGUGCAGUUAAAACUGAUUUGGUUUGUUCAUUAUCAUCUUCUACUUCUUGAAGCUUCUCUUGAAAAGAUCAUGCCGACGUAAUUUCCUUCUUCAAAAAAAGGACACAGAAGUCUGAAUGGAAAAUAUUUCUUCACUUAUGAAACAGUCAAUCUACAUUAUCAUAUUAAAACAUUCAAAAAGAAAUUUUUGAUACUUUAAAAUUCUUUUAAAUCACAUCCAGGAAGAAAAGAAGCUGUUGUAUUAUACUUGGUGUAAAAUCUUUUAUUUAUCUUCUAUUUAUAGCAGUACAUUUCUCAUGUAAUUUUAACAAAAAUGGGCUGUCAAAGAAAAAGGUAAUAUUUUUAUAUGCUUCUGCACAUAGAACGAAGAGUGUUGCUUUUACAUUAUAUAAAAAUCCCUGUCCUGUCAAAAGUGACGAGUUAUAAGAGAAGAAAUAACGUAUAAGUAACUCUUGAUAAGUAACUCUUGAUAAGUAACUCUUGAUAAGUACUGCCACUGUGCGAAACAUAAGAACUUUAAUUUAUCUUCUACGCUUCCUAAGACAUAAUAUUCUCAGAAAGCUGUCAUUCAACAAAACAUAAGAUCUUUAAUUUACCUACCAUAUUUAAUCAGUAUGUUCUUGAUUAAUAAACUGGUCGAUUUA